CUAGAGAGGUGAACAUAAACAUAGAGAAUUACCUCAUAAUGGAAGGAAGUGUGUGUAGGGCUCUGUCAGUGACAUAGAGAGUGGAAGUUCAGAGAAAGGAGAGAAUAUUGUGAACUAAGCAGCCAGGAAAGGCUGAGACUUGAAAGAUGCUAGGAUAGCAUGAGUCAAGAGGAGAGAGAAAUGCUCAAUGCCCACUGUGAGAAGAUAGCCUUUCCCAGUUGGCAUUGGAGAGUAGUGGGACAUCAUACCAUGGUGACAAGGGUAAUCUACCCUUCAGAGUCCCAACUAUCGUCAAAGGAUGACACUGCCACCAUAUGGCUCUCUAGGCACUCCCACACAAUGGACUCUGAGACUGACUGCAUUUUCCAAAAAUAGACACAGCAAUAUUUCUGGUCCCACGUGCUGUUCCAGAACGCUGCCUCUGCCUCAACCAAGAAGUGGAUUUUAUUUCCCCUUCCCUUGAAUUUGAGUGGGACUUCCUUUGUGGGGGCCUCAGUGAAGACACUGCAGUGGAAACAAUGCUGGGUGACUUCAGAGGUUAGGUCAUAAAUAUGACAUGGCUUCCGUCCAUCACUCUCUCUCAGAACACUCACCAUUGGAACUCAGCCGCCAUGUUGUAAGGAAGCCUCAUGUAGAGUUCCAGCAGACAAGCCUAGCUCAGGUACCAGCCAACAGCCAGCGUGAAUCACCAGACAGGUGAAUGAAGACUCCUUUCAGAAGAUUCCAUCCCCAGCCUUUGAAGUGCCCCAGCUGACAGUGAGCAGAGCAGAGACAAGCUAUCCCUGUAAGCUUUGCGUGAACUGCAGAUUCAUGAGAAAAAUAGGUCUCCAGCCUGCCAACCCACUUUGCAGAUUUUGGACUUGCCAAGCCUCCAUAAUCACGUGAGCCAAUUGAAAAAAAUAAAUCCCCUACUAUAUGUAUACACAUGCUAUUGGUUCUGUUUCUCCCCAGAGCCCUGAUGAAUACAGGGCACCUAAUGAGAUUUAUGUUCCAUCAAACAGAAGCAAUCGCUUGGGACUUGAAUUCCAAACCGAUUUAGAGGGGAGCAGGGCAGGGUGCGAGGCAUGUGCUGGUGUGGACAUGGCAGACACUGGGGCCUCCUAGAGCUGCAGCCGCAGUGGCAGAUGGCUUUCUGGUGAUGACCGAAUCGUAGCUCCUUGGUGGCCUACUUCUGCAAUGUGGCUUUGGGAAUAGUUCCUGGAAACUCAGCCUGGAGUUUCUUCAACGACUUCAGUCUUACUAAUGACUGUGGGAGUCCUUUCACGCCCCGUAAUAAAUCCUUCUCUGCGUAAACUAACCAGGGCAUACUCUGCUCUUUGCAAGUGAACCCUGACCGAUGUGGCACGUCGGUCAUUUUAGCUCCGAAACUCCCAUUGUUACCUGAACACAAGAGUAGCACUGAUCUCACAAAGAACCUUCUAUGAAGGCCCACACUGUGAGGGAAAUUAAGCUGAGGCUCUGAGGAAACAGAAACCACACAAUGUCUCUUUCUAUGGUGCAAAGACUAAGUUCACCCAACCCGGAUUUCAUCUCUUACUUACUGUACUCUCCAGAUACCAAUAGGAAUAUGGAACCUCAACAUCCCACUUACAGGACACUAAUUUCACUCCAGACCUAAAGUAGCACCCAAGACAAAGUUCAUUGGGUAGGUAGGAAGAGAGGAAAGGGAACAGGAGCUGCUAAACCAACACUCAG
ensembl:lncRNA